rnacentral:rRNA from 1 species
GACGUAGGGGGCCAGCGUUGCUCGGAAUUACUGGGCGUAAAGGGUUCGUAGGCGGUGCGGCAAGUCGGGAGUGAAAUCUCUGGGCUUAACUCAGGGGCUGCUUCCGAAACUGCCGUGCUUGAGUGCGGGAGAGGCGAGUGGAAUUGCAGGUGUAGCGGUGAAAUGCGUAGAUAUUGGGAGGAACACCAGUGGCGAAGGCGGCUCACUGGACCGGUUCUGACGCUGAAGCGCGAAAGCGUGGGGAGCAAACGGG